rnacentral:rRNA from 1 species
UACGGAGGGGGCUAGCGUUGUUCGGAAUUACUGGGCGUAAAGCGCACGUAGGCGGCUUUGUAAGUCAGAGGUGAAAUCCCGGGGCUCAACCCCGGAACUGCCUUUGAGACUGCAUCGCUUGAAUCCAGGAGAGGUGAGUGGAAUUCCGAGUGUAGAGGUGAAAUUCGUAGAUAUUCGGAAGAACACCAGUGGCGAAGGCGACUUACUGGACACAUAUUGACGCUGAGGUGCGAAAGCGUGGGGAGCAAACAGG